rnacentral:rRNA from 1 species
AACGAACGUUAGCGGCGCGCUUAACACAUGCAAGUCGCACGAGAAAGGGCUUCGGCCCCGGUACAGUGGCGCACGGGUGAGUAACACGUGGGUAAUCUUCCCUCGGGCGGGGGAUAACAUUCCGAAAGGAGUGCUAAUACCGCAUAAGACCACGGCUUCGAAAGGAGCUGAGGUCAAAGCGGGCCUCUAUUCAUGAGCUGGCACCUGAGGAUGAGCCCGCGGCCCAUCAGCUAGUUGGUAGGGUAAUGGCCUACCAAGGCAAAGACGGGUAGCUGGUCUGAGAGGAUGAUCAGCCACACUGGAACUGAGACACGGUCCAGACUCCUACGGGAGGCAGCAGUGGGGAAUCUUGCGCAAUGGGCGAAAGCCUGACGCAGCGACGCCGCGUGAGUGAUGAAGGCCUUCGGGUUGUAAAGCUCUGUGGGGAGAGACGAAUAAGUCGGAGCUAAUACCUCCGGCGAUGACGGUAUCUCCUUAGCAAGCACCGGCUAACUCUGUGCCAGCAGCCGCCGUAACAC